UUUAAACGAGUUUAUUCAGUAUAAAUAUAAAUACACUAACAAUCAGUACAACUGACUCAGUAGAGAGAAUUUUCUUCAUUGAGUUGCGUUUUUUAUUGAAAAGAUAUACCUAAUCGAAAUGAUUUCUAACCAAAUUCUUCGGUUCAUUAUUACUGCGUUAUAUUUGACUGUGCUCAUUAAAGUUGUUAUUGGAAAGUGUUUAAAGAAAGGUUUGAUGUGUCAUCAAAACAGUGAUUGUUGUUUGGAAUGGUGUUACAGACCCCCAUUACAACUUCAUAAUAUUUGUGAUUAAUGACUGUUUGAGGUUAACUACUAAUUAAUUAUAAUAAUGUAAACUCAUUAAUUGAAUUCUAUAAGAAGAUACAUAUUAAAUAAAACUUCCUUGAAAUAAA